ensembl:lncRNA MEG8 maternally expressed 8, small nucleolar RNA host gene
GGACCAAUGAUGACAACUGCCGGCGUAUGAGUGUUGGGUGAUGAAUAAUACGUGUCUAGAACUCUGAGGUCCAACAUACAAAACACCUCAAUAAGCAAGGAUCAGUGGAGGAAUAUCUAGUUUAAAAAAAAUCAUCUUCUCUUUUUUGUACUCCUCAGAGUGAUAAUCUCGAGGUGAUUUAUGCAUUCUUCCAUGGCCACCAGCCUUAUGAUUGCAUCUGUGCGUCACAGCUUAGAGAUCAAUAAUGGAUGCAACAAGCUCUUUGAAUCAUUCUGUUGGGAUCAAGAUUGUUGUGUUCCCUCUGUUUGGAAAGAGACCAAGAAUGGAUACGCUCAGGUGAUUUAAGCAGUCUUCCAUGGCCACGAGCUCUGUGGUUGCCUCUGUAUAUUAAGAGCACAGAGAUUAAAAAUGGCCCCAUUCCAGCUGAUAUAAGCACUCUUCCAUGGCAUGUGCACUAUGGUUGGUUCUCUGUGUUAGGAGCACACAAACCAUUGCGAGUAUGCAUUCAUUUCCUCUCUUUACAAGAAUGGGUGCACUUGAGCCGAUUGAAACAUUCCUCCUUGCAUCUUUCUUCUGUGAUUGCAUCUAUUUGUUAGUAGCAUAGAGACCAAUAAUAGAUGGCUUGUGCUGAUGGAAGGAUUCCUCCCUGGUGACAUGCUGUGUCUGCCUCUUGAUUGGGAGCACGCAGACCUACAAUGAUGCACUUUUUAUGAUUUGAGAAUUCCUUCAUGGUCACGUGCUCUGUUUUUAUCAUGGUUGGGAGCCUGCAGAGCAAUAAGGGACAUGCCUUUGCUGAUUUGAGGAUUCCUCUGAGGUUGGGAGCUAAGUUUGCAUCAUGCUUAGAAAGGAGUGUGCAGACCUGUAAUGAUUGCACUUUGCUGAUUGAAGGAUUCCUUCAAGUCCAUGUGCUCCACUUGCACCAUUUUUAGGAUGGAGCCUGGAGACCUAUAAUGAACAACUUGUGCUGUGUUAAGGAUUCCUCCAUGAUCACGCGCCCCAUUUGUACACCAUGCUUGGGAAGGUGCAUGCAGACCAAUGUUAGUAAUAGUCAAAAUUCCUGUGUCGGUUUGUGUGGUUUGCUAAACAGGACUCAAUGUAUCAUGAAACAGUGUAUUAUAUAGUCAACUAUGGUCAACUAUGUCCCAGUGAUAUUUAUGAGAGGGAUCUGAAGUAUUUAUUGAUAAUGCAUAUAUGAAAAACGGAGAAGAAUUAAUGAAACAGAUAUAUCUGUGUUAGAAUGAUUCUGUAUAAAGAUAGGGAAUAUCAAGUCUGUUCUUAGUGUUUUGUGAAUCACAGAGUGUAAAAUUAUUCCCAGUGAAUUAAUGAAUAAAUUUAAAGACAACAUAGAAAUGAAUGCAGAAAAA